rnacentral:rRNA from 1 species
UACGGAGGGUGCAAGCGUUGUUCGGAAUCACUGGGCGUAAAGCGCGUGUAGGCGGCCUCCUCAGUCUGGUGUGAAAGCCCGGGGCUCAACCCCGGAAGUGCAUUGGAUACUGGGAGCUGGAGUACCGGAGAGGAGGGUGGAAUUCCUGGUGUAGCGGUGAAAUGCGUAGAUAUCAGGAGGAACACCGGUGGCGAAGGCGGCCCUCUGGACGGAUACUGACGCUGAGACGCGACAGCGUGGGGAGCAAACAGG